GCGAGGGUAUCCAAGCCAGGUCAAAAGAGGCAGACUCAAGAUCUGCUCCCGAAGGGGUUCGCGGGUUCAAAUCCCUCCCCUCGCA
rnacentral:tRNA from 1 species